CCCCCCGCUGACUAACAGUCUAGCUGGAAACUGAGCUCUAGCACUAAAUUCCUUUUAGAUCCCUACUCCUUUGAAGCUAGUCCGAAGGGCAGAUCUCACAAUUGUGCUGAAAACUCGGAUGACACUCAGACUCUUUUCCCUUUGGUCCUGGGCACGCACUUUUCAGCUGGAAUUCUCAGCCUCAGCACUGCUGACAUCUUGGGUCCGAUAAUGCCAAGUGGUGGGGCUGCCCUACACUUUGUGGGAUGUUUAACAGCGUCCCCGCCCUCGACCCGCUGAAUGAGUGUGAUGGGAGAACCAGGCAUGGGGUUGGAGCACAGAUGAGAGCUGCAUCCGCGGUGGCAGCGGGAGGUCAGGGAGCUCGGGUAGUACUUGAACCGGGUCUGAAAGAAGACAGAGCGGUGAGCCAGGCCGAGGCUGGGAGACCGUGCUCCUGGCAGGGUGAACAGUGAGAGAGAGAAAGUGCCGUCUCUCAGUCGUGUCCGACUUCUCGACCCCAUAGACGGCAGCCCACCAGGCUUCUCUGUCCAUGGGAUUCUCCAGGCCAGAACACUGGAGUAGGUUGACAUGCCCUCCUCAAGGGGAUCUUCCUGACCCUGGGAUCGAACCCAGGCCUCCCGACGCUUUACCGUCUGAGCCACCAGGAAGCCCAGUAAUUAGCUUUACAUAAUUUCGGCAGCGCAAACACGUGGAGGCCUGGAAUCCAGCCCUGCGCCCGGGAAACACCUGAAGCAGAGCCGCGGGCUCUGAUGAGAGCCGGGAGAGAGAGGCGGAGGCCGGGGAGGAGGGGACCGGCUCCUCGGACGCUGCGUCCCAGGAUGAAGCGGAGCGCGUCAGGCCCCGGGGCUGCAGACGGCAGACCCCUCCCUGUCCCGCUCCUUCGCCCCCAGUCCCGCCUUCUUUCCUACCCGCCACCCGGGCUCAGAGUCCUUUGCCCGCAGGCACUCUCAGGCAGUCAGUCCUCAAGGGCUGGGUCUCUGGGGCGUCGUGAGUGUAGAAAGACGCGGAUGCCGCCAUCCUCCUAGCUCCAGCGGAGUUCCCAGGGCGGGAGAAGGGGAAGGAGGCUGGACCAGCCCUGCUGAGGUUGGCGGGGCGCCCAGAAGGCGGCCAGCAGGGAGGGGCCUCCUGGGUGGGCCCGGGUGCUGUGCCCGCCCCUGAGGCUGGACGUGGGGGCUGCGGAGAGGCGAAGGGCGUCUCUCCUCUCCCGGGCGCCUGCCGGGCUUUCUGAGCGCCGGCUGCGGGCAACCGCGCAGAGAGGGGCGGCACCUGGAGAGAGGGCCCGGGGGGCCGCGUCACGCCCAGGACGGCCGGGGACGGCGGUGGGCCGGAGGAGCGAGGUCACAGCGCAGAGACGUUCAGGCUGAGGAGUAUAGUAAGACUGAAAUGUCCAGUUAGCACAGCACAAGAGCUGGUGUAGAAGGGCUGGCAUCCAGCUAAGAGGCAAGAAGACUUACUGACUAGCAAUGGAAGAGCCAAAGGAUCAUCAGCGCCAGAAGACUGAGGGCAAGCUACAGUUUCCCCCACUCCUGACGCUGAUGCAUCACACACUCACAACUUUGAAUGUCGGCAACUUGAAGGACAGAGAACCGAUAGACACUGCCAGUUGCUAAUUUCAUCUUUUCUGAUCAUACCCCCCGAGGACUUUGGAAGUACGAUGGAGCCAUCAUAUACAUUGGGAGGCGGACGUGUGCCAAAACAUGAACUUGUACCAAAACACCACUUCAGCUGACCUCACAUUCUGACUGGUAGACCACACUGGAAAGGCCAGUUUUCAUUCCAAACCCAAAGAAGGCAAUGCCAAAGAAUAUUCAAACUACUGCACAAUUGCACUCAUUUCACAUGCUAGCAAGGUCAUGCUCAAAAUCCUCCAAGCCAGGCU